rnacentral:lncRNA from 1 species
UGACGCCCGGCAAACAUUCCUGAGCUGCUGAGGGGGCAGUUGGAGUCCGGGCACCGCAGAACCGCUGGGGAAGGGGCUCCCAAGCCCUAAUCUAAGAGUCGCCACCAUGCCCAGCUCUCCGACAAGCACCCGUAAGCAGACCAACUUCACCGCGAGUGUCUCCGCACAAUCAAGGAAGUCCAUUAGCUUUGGUAACCCAAAAUCAACCGGAGGGAAAGGAUAUGCUGGUGCAAAUCAAAGCAAAAUAGUCGCAUCAAGAACCAUGACUUUUUUACCCGAGAUGAAGCCGGCAGAAAAACUAAACAUUGCUAGCGCCAAAUUGGUACAGGUGCUCGAUCCACGAGGAGUUGAUGUCACUCCCCGACCUCUCUACCAUCCAGAUCCACAUGCCAUGCCAACAAAGCCGAGCAAACUCUUGACAUCACAAGAAGGAUCGAUGGGAUCAGAUUAUAUUUCUUCCUACAGCCUGUAUCAGAAUACGUUAAACCCCAGCAUGUUAGGGCAGUACACGAGGUGACGUAUACUGGCCCUAGUUCUUUUGAUUUCAUGUAUAUUGUCCUUCUGUUUGUAUACAUCCAGAACGUAUAUUAUCUUCCAGUUUUCUAACAUCAACCUAUCAAUCCUAGCACACUUGGUGGCCACGAGCGACGCCCUUGCAGUUCCCUGCACAACCUGUUAGCUCUUCCCUCCUUAGCUCAGCUGCUCAGUCUCCUCCCCGGCGCUUGUCUACCCCUGUUAAGCUGGGGAGGGGCCUUUGAGAAUCUUCCAAGUUACUGUUUUCCCAGACACGGCCUUUCAUUUACCUCCUGAGUCCCUUGAGUUGUCCCCUCUUGUAGGGAAGGUUUCAGCUUGGAGGAAACUGCUGUUGGCAUAGCUAGCUCUUGAGUUAUCGCUCCAGGGGACUUUUGUAAAAUUGUACUCUUUUUGGAGAUGAGUUGUGAAGAAUGGCUAGAACCCAGGUGAGAAACAAAGGGAAGAGUGUCCUGGGCUGAGCCCCUCAGAGAGCUGACAGAGGCUCGGAAACACCCAACAAGGAGAUGCCGAAGAGCCAUACAGAGGAUGGAGGUGGAGGCGGAGCUCUAGUUUAGACUUUUGCCUAAAAUGUACAUUGAGAACGCAGUGAUAGCCUCUGGGCAUAGGUUUAAAGAACAUGAAGAAUCAAUGGAAGAGAGUGUAAAGUUCCUGUGCUUUACGUUGCUUAUAGGACUGCAGUAUAUUUGGUUUUCCCAUCUGUUACUGUAACCUAAUUUACAUUUUUAGUUUCUCAUAAGGACACUGAACAAAUGAAUGACGUUACUAAUUUUCAAAGGUCAGUCAUAGGGAGCAGCAGUACAGUGUCUAAGUCAAGUAUAUCAACGACUGAAUCAAUGACAGAGGACCUUGAAGAUCCAUCUUACAAAAGGGAUAGAUUGGCUAGUUUUGCAGGUAAUAAAAAACUUCUUUUAUUUAAUCUUCCAGUUUUUUUUUUUUUAGAUGUGUAUUGGUGUUUUGCCUGCAUAUAUGUCUGUGUCAGAUCUUAAAGUUACAGACAGUUCUGAGGUGCCAGGUGGGUGUGGGGAAUUGAACCCGAGUCCUCUGGAAGAGCAAUCAUUGCUCUUAACCACUAAGUCAAAUCUCCACCCCCUUAAUUUUACAGUCUUAAUGCAUUUUCAGUGGUGUAAGACUAGACUCCCCGCAAUAAAAUUGUCAUGUUCAUAAAACCU